GGGGCCAUAGCUCAGCUGGAGAGCGCCUGCUUUGCACGCAGGAGGUCAGGAGUUCGAUCCUCCUUGGCUCCACCA
rnacentral:tRNA from 1 species